rnacentral:rRNA from 1 species
ACGGCUCAGUAACACGUGGAUAACCUGCCCUACACUGGGGGAUAAUCUCGGGAAACUGAGCAUAAUACCCCAUAGACCACUACGCCUGGAACGGUGAGUGGUUCAAAGCUUCGGCGGUGUAGGAUGGGUCUGCGGCGUAUCAGGUCGUAGGGGGUGUAAUGGACCUCCUAGCCAUCGACGCGUACGGGUUGUGGGAGCAAUAGCCCGGAGACGGAUUCUGAGACACGAAUCCGGACCCUACGGGGUGCAGCAGGCGCGAAAACUUCACACUGCAGGAAACUGUGAUGAGGGAACUCCAAGUGACUGCACAAUGUGUAGCCUUUUCAUGAAUCUUAAUAGUUCUUGGAAUAAGGGCUGGGAAAGACCGGUGCCAGCCGCCGCGGUAAUACCGGCAGCUCAAGUGGUCGUCGCUUUUAUUGGGCCUAAAACGUCCGUAGCCUGUUUGGUAAAUCUGUGGGUAAAUCAACGAGCUUAACUCGUUGAAUUCUGCAGAGACUGCCAGACUAGGGACCGGGAGAGGUAUGAGGUACUCUGGGGGUAGGGGUAAAAUCCUGUCAUCCCCAGAGGACCACCUGUUGCGAAGGCGUCAUACUGGAACGGAUCCGACGGUCAGGGACGAAGCCUAGGGGCACGAACCGGAUUAGAUACCCGGGUAGUCCUAGGUGUAAACGCUGUGAACUUGGUGUCGGGAGUCCGCAAUGGGCCCCCGGUGCCGGAGUGAAGAUGUUAAGUUCACUGCCUGGGGAGUACGGUCGCAAGGCUGAAACUUAAAGGAAUUGGCGGGGGAGCA